GUAGGUGGCAAGCGUUGUCCGGAAUUAUUGGGCGUAAAGCGCGCGCAGGCGGUUCUUUAAGUCUGAUGUGAAAGCCCACGGCUCAACCGUGGAGGGUCAUUGGAGACUGGAGAACUUGAGUACAGAAGAGGAAAGCGGAAUUCCACGUGUAGCGGUGAAAUGCGUAGAGAUGUGGAGGAACACCAGUGGCGAAGGCGGCUUUCUGGUCUGUAACUGACGCUGAGGCGCGAAAGCGUGGGGGAGCAAACAGGAUUAGAUACCCUGGUAGUCCACGCCGUAAACGAUGAGUGCUAAGUGUUAGGGGGUUUCCGCCCCUUAGUGCUGCAGCUAACGCAUUAAGCACUCCGCCUGGGAGUACGGCCGCAAGGCUG
rnacentral:rRNA from 1 species